UAGUCAUAUGCUUGUCUCAAAGAUUAAGCCAUGCAUGUCUAAGUAUAAAUAACUACACAGUGAAACUGCGAAUGGCUCAUUAAAACAGUUAUAGUUUAUUUGAUAAAUUAAAUGGAUAACUGUAGGAAACUAGAGCUAAUACAUGCCACAGGCCGUAAGGCUGCAUUUAUUAGAUAUACCAAGACGGUGAAUCAUAAUAACUUAGCAAAUCGAAACAACGUCUCGAUAAAUCAUUCAAGUUUCUGACCUAUCAUGCUCUGAUGGUAGUGUAUUGGACUACCAAGGCAGUCACGGGUAACGGGGAAUUAGGGUUCGAUUCCGGAGAAGGAGCCUGAGAAACGGCUACUACAUCUAAGGAAGGCAGCAGGCGCGUAAAUUACCCAAUCCUAAAUCAGGGAGGUAGUGACAAGAUAUAGUGACGCGAUUAAAUAUUGCGAUUACAGUGAGGGUAUUCUAAAAAUAGCUUCGAGUACGAUU
rnacentral:rRNA from 1 species